rnacentral:ncRNA from 1 species
UAAAUUUGCACCCGUCCAAAGAGACUACAUAAUAAUUAUUUACAAUAAUAUUGGCAUG